rnacentral:lncRNA from 1 species
UUUGGCGUUUAUCAAAUACCCCCACACUUAAGCAUUUGCUUGUCAUCAAGAAAAACUCUCAUUUACUGCUAGAUUCCUUCCUUUCAAUCACAUAAUCAUUACUGAUAAUGUUACAAAUUAUUCCACGAAAAAUCAUAUUGUGAGAAUUCAACUAUAGGGGCAUUAAAAGCCUCAAACAAUAUAAAUCGAAUAUUUUGAUAAUAAAAUCAUAGGUAAUCUCCUUCCUCUAAGUAAUUAGCUUUAGUCCUAAAUAUACAAGAGAUGAC